CCUACGGGGAGCAGCAGUGGGGAAUAUUGGGCAAUGGGCGCAAGCCUGACCCAGCACCGCCGCGUGAAGGAAGAAGGCUUUCGGGUUGUAAACUUCUUUUCUCAGGGACGAAGCAAGUGACGGUACCUGAGGAAUAAGCCACGGCUAACUACGUGCCAGCAGCCGCGGUAAUACGUAGGUGGCAAGCGUUAUCCGGAUUUACUGGGUGUAAAGGACGUGUAGGCGGGGACGCAAGUCAGAUGUGAAAACCACGGGUUCAACCGGUGGCCUGCAUUUGAAACGGUGUUUCUUGCGUGCUGGAGAGGCAGACGGAAUUCCUAGGGUAGCGGGGAAAUGCGGAGAUAUUAGGAGGAACACCAGUGGCGAAGGCGGUCUGCUGGACAGCAACUGACGCUGAGGCGCGAAAGCGUGGGGAGCAAACAGGAUUAGAUACCCCUGUAGUC
rnacentral:rRNA from 1 species